UACGAAGGGGGCUAGCGUUGUUCGGAAUACUGGGCGUAAAGCGCGCGCAGGCGGUCCUUCAAGUCAGAGGUGAAAGCCCAGAGCUCAACUCUGGAAUGGCCUUUGAGACUAGAGGACUUGGGUACGGGAGAGGUGAGUGGAAUUCCGAGUGUAGAGGUGAAAUUCGUAGAUAUUCGGAAGAACACCAGUGGCGAAGGCGGCUCACUGGCCCGUUACCGACGCUCAGGCGCGACAGCGUGGG
rnacentral:rRNA from 1 species